rnacentral:rRNA from 1 species
UGCUCCAGAAUAGCUCUUGGAAACGGGUGGUAAUGCUGGAUGCUCCAACUUGACGCAUGUCUUGUUGGGAAGUGUUUAGUGGCAUGGGAUGGGGUCGCGUCCUAUCAGCUUGUAGGCGGGGUAAUGGCCCACCUAGGCUUCGACGGGUAGCCGGCCUGAGAGGGCGGACGGCCACAUUGGGACUGAGAUACGGCCCCAGACUCCUACGGGAGGCAGCAGGC